UAUCCUACGGGAGGCAGCAGUGAGGAAUAUUGGUCAAUGGGCGGGAGCCUGAACCAGCCAAGCCGCGUGAGGGAAGAAGGUACAGCGUAUCGUAAACCUCUUUUGUCAGGGAACAAAGGCGGGGACUAGUCCCCGGAUGAGGGUACCCGAAGAAAAAGCAUCGGCUAACUCCGUGCCAGCAGCCGCGGUAAUACGGAGGAUGCGAGCGUUAUCCGGAUUUAUUGGGUCUAAAGGGUGCGUAGGCGGCCUGCUAAGUCUGGAGUGAAAGGUACCGGCUCAACCGGUACAGGCUCUGGAAACUGGCG
rnacentral:rRNA from 1 species